AUUGAACGCUGGCGGCAGGCCUAACACAUGCAAGUCGAGCGGAUGAGAGGAGCUUGCUCUUCGAUUCAGCGGCGGACGGGUGAGUAAUGCCUAGGAAUCUGCCUAGUAGUGGGGGACAACGUUUCGAAAGGAACGCUAAUACCGCAUACGUCCUACGGGAGAAAGUGGGGGAUCUUCGGACCUCACGCUAUUAGAUGAGCCUAGGUCGGAUUAGCUAGUUGGUAGGGUAAAGGCCUACCAAGGGGACGAUCCGUAACUGGUCUGAGAGGAUGAUCAGUCACACUGGACCUGAGACACGGUCCAGACUCCUACGGGAGGCAGCAGUGGGGAGUAUUGGACAAUGGGCGAAAGCCUGAUCCAGCCAUGCCGCGUGUGUGAAGAAGGCCUUCGGGUCGUAAAGCACUUUAAGUUGGGAGGAAGGGCUCAUAGCGAAUACCUGUGAGUUUUGACGUUACCAACAGAAUAAGCACCGGCUAACUUCGUGCCAGCAGCCGCCGUAACAC
rnacentral:rRNA from 1 species